rnacentral:rRNA from 1 species
AUUGAACGCUGGCGGCAGGCUUAACACAUGCAAGUCGAGCGGAGAUGAGGUGCUUGCACCUUAUCUUAGCGGCGGACGGGUGAGUAAUGCUUAGGAAUCUGCCUAUUAGUGGGGGACAACAUUCCGAAAGGAAUGCUAAUACCGCAUACGCCCUACGGGGGAAAGCAGGGGAUCUUCGGACCUUGCGCUAAUAGAUGAGCCUAAGUCGGAUUAGCUAGUUGGUGGGGUAAAGGCCUACCAAGGCGACGAUCUGUAGCGGGUCUGAGAGGAUGAUCCGCCAAGCUGGGACUGAGACACGGCCCGGACUCCUACGGGAGGCAGCAGUGGGGCAUAUUGGACACUGGGCGGAAGCCUGAUCCAGCCAUGCCGCGUGUGUGAAGAAGGCCUUUUGGUUGUAAAGCACUUUAAGCGAGGAGGAGGCUACCUGGAUUAAUACUCUAGGAUAGUGGACGUUACUCGCAGAAUAAGCACCGGCUAACUCUGUGCCAGCCGCCGCAGUAACAC